CCGCUGAAUUUAAGCAUAUUAAUAAGCGGAGGAAAAGAAACUACAAGGGAUUCCCCUAGUAAUGGCGAAUGAAGCGGGAACAGCUCAAAUUUAAAAUCUCCGUUGCUUGCAACGGCGAAUUGUAGUUUCGAGAAGCACUUUCUCGGCGGAUCCGAGGUCGUCCAAGUUGCUUGGAACAGCACGUCGUAGAGGGUGACAACCCCGUCUGCGGCGAUCUCGGCCGUUCACGAUGUGCUUUCGACGAGUCGGGUUGUUUGGGAAUGCAGCCCAAAAUGGGUGGUAAACUCCAUCUAAAGCUAAAUAUUGGCACGAGACCGAUAGCGAACAAGUACCGUGAGGGAAAGAUGAAAAGCACUUUGAAAAGAGAGUUAAAAAGUACGUGAAACCGUUAAAAGGGAAACGAAUGGGGUUAGCAAUGCGUCGUGCGAGAUUCAGCCGGUGGGUGGGCCAGGCGGGCGGUUGGCGGAUCUGAAUGGACCGCUGCCGUUCGGGUUGGUUUCCCGACCGUCGCACUUCUCGCAGGCGCGCGCCAACGUCGGUUAGGGCUGGGUCUCAAAGGCGGUGGAAAGGUAGGUUUGGACUCUCGGGCCCGAACUGUUACAGUCCUCCGUUCGUCAUGGCCCGGACCUGACCGAGGAGCUUGCGGUGCAUGCCGUUCGGCUAGGAUCCCGUCUUCCCGGUCGGUCGUCGAAUGCGGUGGACUGCGUGCAGUGCGCCGCGACUGCUGCCGGUCGCGAGGGCGGUGAUUUCGUACUAUGCACCCACGACGUUGGCGGUCAUAUGGCCUCAUCCGACCCGUCUUGAAACACGGACCAAGGAGUCUAACAUGUGUGCGAGUCUUUGAGUGACCGAAACUCCGAGGCGUAAUGAAAGUGAAGGCGACUCCGGUCGCUGAGGUGAGAGC
rnacentral:ncRNA from 1 species